GAUGACAUCAUUUUCAUUUUUGGGUGAACUAUCCCUUUAAUGUUGUGUAAACAGAACCUUUGAAGACUCACACCUGUAAGUAAAUGCGGUUGUCAUUUUUAAACUGACAGUGUGAAUAGCCCUGACAUGGGGCAAGUUGUCACAAAGUUAAGGUUUUGGAACUAAGAUUCAGUUACAUUUCCCCUAGCAUUGGUUCAAAAACUCUUGUGUUAUGUUAUCCUUUGAACCAGUAUUAUUUUAGUAGGCUUAUUUUUAUAUGUAUUUUUUUUAUAUUUUUCAUUUUAAUUUUACCUUAAGUUUUAGUAAUUUUGUUAUGUGCUUUUGUCAUUUCUAUUAGUGUUUUGUAAACAUUUCUUAGUAUAUUUUCAUUUAUUUUUAUUUUAGUUUUAGCAAUUUUAGUACUUUAAAGGGGUGAUAUAAUGCCACUUCUACAAGAUGUAAAAUAAGUCUCUGAUGUAUCCAGAGUGUGUAUGUGAAGUUUUAGCUCAAAAUACCCCACAGAUAAUUUUUUAUAGCAUGUUAAAUUUGUCACUUUUUGAGGGUGAGCAAAAACGCUCCGUUUGUGUGUGUGUCCCUUUAAAUGCAAAUGAGCUGCUGCUUCCAAAAAGAGGGCGGAGUUUCAAGAGCUCGUGUUAGCAGCGCCGAUUACCUCUCACAGACUCACUGAAAAUGUCAGAAACUGUUUCAAUCCGGAGUCGAACAAUGAUGGAGAGACUCAAGAAGAAGUGACAACAUGUAGAAUGCAACAGGGCAUUUCUGAACGAAUGAUCAGUUGGAAAUCAAUCCUUCAUACGCAAGCGAUGUCAUUCCUGUCCAACAAUUGGCAUGCAAUUGAUAGCCUAGUUCAUUCUCUGACUAUUGAUUACUCAUCGAAAGUCAUUCUUCUGGAUAAUGGGACCGGUUACCCCUGAAGAUAUUACAAGCUCCAAAAUGAAUCACAUCCAUUUCUCACCGUGCACAAGAUGACAGGAGUGAGACUCAGUUUGAGGGCCGAGACUCUCCGCAAUCAUUCGCAACGUGGAAGAGAAGGAUCACAGAGCGAUGUCCACUCCUGUGACCCAUAGUUAAAGAAAGAGCCUCCCUAUUGAUAUGAGAGAUAUUACAAGCGUCUUAAAGGGAAGAGUCAUUUGGUUGUUAUGCAUCAUCACAUAAGAGCUUAAAAUGGAAGCUGAGGCUGUGCCACACUACGUAAAGAUUCCCCACGGUUUUCAUAUGGAGGUUCCUGAAGUGUGUCGAAUGGACAUUGGGGUGAUCACGCUGAUGAGCUUCUGAAAGAAGAACAUUUCUAUAGACUCUGGAUCGGUACUUCCGCCUACGUCACGUGUGACUUCCAACGUGAUUACGCAAUGCAUGGCGCAUCGCACGACUUGGAUGACGUGGGGAUUUGCUCAGAAGAGAAACGAAGCAUAUGACGGCAAGAGAGAAAUCUUUCCCUACAAUGCAUUGCCCGGAACUAUCUACACUAACAAUGACACAGCAUCUAUUGACUUUUUUUAUCUCAAGGCCAGAGAGUUCUGACAUAUGUCUGCAAUUUUGUUUUCGUAAGUAAUUUUCCAACCAGUGUUGCCCAGAGGUCUGCAAGGUGACCUCAUUUUCUGAAGAGAAAAAUUCUCCACAUCUGAGGCAGCGCGUUUUGCCUUUCCUCCACUCGAUGUGGUGUUGUAGUCCUAGAACACAGCUGUUGUAAAUUUGAAAUAAAAAUAUUUUCUUAUGAUGUUU